UACGAAGGGAGCUAGCGUUGUUCGGAAUCACUGGGCGUAAAGCGCACGUAGGCGGAUGUGUCAGUCAGGGGUGAAAUCCCGGAGCUCAACUUCGGAACUGCCUCUGAUACAGCACGUCUUGAGUCCGAGAGAGGUGGGUGGAAUUCCUAGUGUAGAGGUGAAAUUCGUAGAUAUUAGGAAGAACACCGGUGGCGAAGGCGGCAUCCUGGACCGGUAUUGACGCUGAGGCGCGAAAGCCAGGGGAGCAAACGGG
rnacentral:rRNA from 1 species